rnacentral:rRNA from 1 species
AUGAACGCUGGCGGCGUGCCUAAUACCUGCAAGUCGAGCGAACGGACGAGAAGCUUGCUUCUCUGAUGUUAGCGGCGGACGGGUGAGUAACACGUGGAUAACCUACCUAUAAGACUGGGAUAAUUUCGGGAAACCGGAGCUAAUACCGGAUAAUAUUUUGAACCGCAUGGUUCAAAAGUGAAAGACGGUCUUGCUGUCACUUAUAGAUGGAUCCGCGCUGCAUUAGCUAGUUGGUAAGGUAACGGCUUACCAAGGCAACGAUGCAUAGCCGACCUGAGAGGGUGAUCGGCCACACUGGAACUGAGACACGGUCCAGACUCCUACGGGAGGCAGCAGUAGGGAAUCUUCCGCAAUGGGCGAAAGCCUGACGGAGCAACGCCGCGUGAGUGAUGAAGGUCUUCGGAUCGUAAAACUCUGUUAUUAGGGAAGAACAUAUGUGUAAGUAACUGUGCACAUCUUGACGGUACCUAAUCAGAAAGCCACGGCUAACUACGUG